AGGCAUGUCCUUCGAUACAAGGUGCAAU
rnacentral:snRNA from 1 species